rnacentral:rRNA from 1 species
UACGAAGGGGGCUAGCGUUGUUCGGAAUUACUGGGCGUAAAGCGUGCGCAGGCGGCUUCUCAAGUCAGGGGUGAAAGCUCAGAGCUCAACUCUGGAAUUGCCUUUGAGACUGAGUGGCUUGAGUACGAGAGAGGUGAGUGGAAUUCCCAGUGUAGAGGUGAAAUGCGUAGAUAUCGGGAGGAACACCUGUGGCGAAAGCGGCUCACUGGACCACAACUGACGCUGAGGCACGAAAGCGUGGGUAGCAAACAGG